CCUACGGGAGGCAGCAGUGAGGAAUAUUGGUCAAUGGACGCAAGUCUGAACCAGCCAUGCCGCGUGCAGGAAGACGGCUCUAUGAGCUGUAAACUGUUUUUGUACGAGGGUAAACGCAGAUACGUGUAUCUGUCUGAAAGUAUCGUACGAAUAAGGAUCGGCUAACUCCGCGCCAGCAGCCGCGGUAAUACGGAGGAUUCAAGCGUUAUCCGGAUUUAUUGGGUUUAAAGGGUGCGUAGGCGGUCGGAUAAGUUAGAGGUGAAAUCCCGAGGCUCAACUUCGGAAUGGCCUCUGAUACUGUACGGCUAGAGAGUAGUUGCGGUAAGCGGAAUGUAUGGUGUAGCGGUGAAAUGCUUAGAGAUCAUACAGAACACCAGUUGCGAAGGCAGCUUACCAGGCUGCUUCUGACGUUGAGGCACGAAAGCGUGGGGAGCAAACAGGAUUAGAUACCCGAGUAGUC
rnacentral:rRNA from 1 species